CAGUCGAUCAGUCAAUCGGUUGGUCAGUCGGUUGGUCGGUCAGUCGGUUGGUCGGUCAGUCGGUCGGUCGGUCGGUUGGUUGGUCAUU